GGAAGGAAGGUUCGGCUUUGAGAAGCUAGAGAAAAAAAAUCGAGAGGUUUUUCCUCCCACCCACAUGCCAUUGUUGAAAUUUAAGGAGAGUUUGGUGGUUUGACUUAAAGAUUUCAAGAUAAAGAAGCAAAAGAAUACCGUGUGGAUGCCAAGGAAAGCAUGCAUGUUGGUGAUUCGCAAAGAAUGUGAAAUUAAACUACCAAGGAGCUUGAGAUUUCUUAGUUUUAGUUCAAGAUAAAUUAUUGAGGAAAGGCUUGUUCGGGACUUAGCGAUUUCCUCCGCGAGACUUGGAUGUCGGUAGCGAUUGAGGAGCGGUUGUUACAUUUAGUGGAUCAUCAAAGAUCUGAAAAAGGACUUGGUAAUAAAGACCUUAAGAGGGAUGAGUCUCAAGUCUAUCAACUAAAUCUCCAAUGGUGGGAGCUCACCUCGACGUUUGUGACGGACUUGCAAAUUUUGUGUAUUGACCAUUCUACCACAUGGGUGAUUGCAAACACUAAUUUAUAUUUUCCAUCCCAAGGUAUAUAAUGUUUGGUUUCCAUAAUAUGUAAGGAAAGGUUAAACAAAAGUUCUCAAUAGACCCAUAACAUGUAUAUGUUGAAGUACUAUAAUUACAGGAUACUUUCGAUGGGUGCUACUUAUGUGAGUGGAAGUGUGGUCGCUUCUAAGAGCUAAAGGCUUGACUUUGAUAGCACUUAUGAUUGGAUGCAAAAUACAAGGCCAUAAAACGUGUUGGCAAAACUAGAUACAAAGUGAGCAAGGAAACUUGUGUGUGUUUAGUGGGUUGACUAGUCAAAUGAAGAAUUGAUGGUUCAAUAUUUUGUCAACCA